ACUCCUACGGGAGGCAGCAGUGGGGAAUAUUGCACAAUGGGGGAAACCCUGAUGCAGCCAUGCCGCGUGUGUGAAGAAGGCCUUCGGGUUGUAAAGCACUUUCAGUAGGGAGGAAGGUAGUGUAGUUAACACCUGGCACUUAUUUGACGUUACCAUACAAGAAGAAGCACCCGGCUAACUCCGUGCCAGCAGCCGCGGUAAUACGGAGGGUGCGAGCGUUAAUCGGAAUUACUGGGCGUAAAGCGCAUGCAGGCGGCCUGUUAAGUCAGAUGUGAAAGCCCGGGGCUUAACCUCGG
rnacentral:rRNA from 1 species